rnacentral:rRNA from 1 species
CAGUAGCCGCGGUAAUACGGAGGGUGCAAGCGUUAAUCGGAAUUACUGGGCGUAAAGCGCACGCAGGCGGUUUGUUAAGUCAGAUGUGAAAUCCCCGGGCUCAACCUGGGAAUGGCAGUGGAUACUGGCAAGCUAGAGUGUGUCAGAGGAUGGUGGAAUUCCCGGUGUAGCGGUGAAAUGCGUAGAGAUCGUGAGGAACAUCAGUGGCGAAGGCGGCCAUCUGGGACAACACUGACGCUGAGGCACGAAAGCGUGGGGAGCAAACAGGAUUAGAUACCCGUGUAGUCCCUGUCUCUUAUAC